rnacentral:rRNA from 1 species
CGAUACGGGACUCAUCCGAGGCCCCGUAAUCGGAAUGAGUACACUCUAAACCCUUUAACGAGGAUCAAUUGGAGGGCAAGUCUGGUGCCAGCAGCCGCGGUAAUUCCAGCUCCAAUAGCGUAUAUUAAAGUUGUUGCGGUUAAAAAGCUCGUAGUCGAAUUUGUGUCCCGCGCCGCCGGUUCAUCGCUCGCGGUGUCAACUGGCGUGUCCGCGGGACGUCCUGCCGGUGGGCUUAGCCCCUGCGGGCGGCCCAAUCUCAAUCCCACCGCGGUGCUCUUCACUGAGUGUCGAGGUGGGCCGGCACGUUUACUUUGAACAAAUUAGAGUGCUUAAAGCAGGCUAAAACAUCGCCUGAAUACUGUGUGCAUGGAAUAAUGGAAUAGGACCUCGGUUCUAUUUUGUUGGUUUUCGGAACCCCGAGGUAAUGAUUAAUAGGAACGGAUGGGGGCAUUCGUAUUGCGACGUUAGAGGUGAAAUUCUUGGAUCGUCGCAAGACGGACAGAAGCGAAAGCAUUUGCCAAAAACGCUUUCAUUGAUCAAGAACGAAAGUUAGAGGUUCGAAGGCGAUCAGAUACCGCCCUAGUUCUAACCAUAAACGAUGCCAGCUAGCGAUCCGCCGACGUUCCUCCGAUGACUCGGCGGGCAGCUUCCGGGAAACCAAAGCUUUUGGGUUCCGGGGGAAGUAUGGUUGCAAAGCUGAAACUUAAAGGAAUUGACGGAAGGGCACCACCAGGAGUGGAGCCUGCGGCUUAAUUUGACUCAACACGGGAAACCUCACCAGGCCCGGACACCGGAAGGAUUGACAGAUUGAGAG